rnacentral:sRNA from 1 species
GAACUUUAAUGUUUGUAUCACUUAAGGCAUUGACUUUGAUAACUAAAUUGUUAUUUAGUGAGUUAGAUCUAGCUCUGGGUGCUUCUUCAAUUCCCCCAUUUACUACUCGUAUUGCUCAAUCUCUCGGUUGAUUCCGGUGUUCGUCGCAUAAUAUGCACUUUCGUUGCUCUUUCCUCUCCCUCUUCUGUGUGACACGUGUGUUGGGUGUGAUCGGCGGGUUUUGUCUCGUCUCCCACUUGUCUGUCUGUUUUAGUUACAUCAGAUCUUACAUACAUAUGUACAUAUGCAGGUACAAACAUACUCGCAUUUCUAUCAAGAAGUUUUCUAGCUUGUGUGGGAACUUCAUCCAAUACUACCCUUUCGAUGUCACCUCAGCUCUAUCGCCCAUAAUUAUCGCAUAAUUUGACAAAAAUAAAUUGCAUUAGCAGUGAAACAAGUUCAAAACGCAGAAUAACAUUUGAAUACAACAGCAAAAACCCAAAAAAAAAAAUAGGCAAAAACACA